GAUGAACGCUAGCGGCAGGCUUAAUACAUGCAAGUCGAGGGGCAGCAGUCCCGCAGCAAUGCGGGAGCUGGCGACCGGCAAACGGGUGCGGAACACGUACAGAACCUUCCUUCGAGCGGGGAAUAGCCCAGAGAAAUUUGGAUUAAUACCCCAUAGCAUUACGAAGUGGCAUCACUUUGUAAUUAAAGAUUUAUCACUCGAAGAUGGCUGUGCGGCUGAUAGGUAGUUGGCGGAGUAACGGCCCACCAAGCCUUCGAUCAGUAACUGGUGUGAGAGCACGACCAGUCACACGGGCACUGAGACACGGGCCCGACUCCUACGGGAGGCAGCAGUAAGGAAUAUUGGUCAAUGGACGAAA
rnacentral:rRNA from 1 species